rnacentral:rRNA from 1 species
GAGACAGCAGCGCCGCGGGAAUACGAAGGGGGCUAGCGUUGUUCGGAUUUACUGGGCGUAAAGGGCGCGUAGGCGGACUGAUAAGUCAGGGGUGAAAUCCCAAGGCUCAACCUUGGAACUGCCUUCGAUACUGUUUGUCUUGAGUUCGAGGGAGGUAAGUGGAACUGCGAGUGUAGAGGUGAAAUUCGUAGAUAUUCGCAAGAACGCCAGUGGCGAAGGCGGCUUACUGGCUCGAAACUGACGCUGAGGCGCGAAAGCGUGGGGAGCAAACAGGAUUAGAUACCCGCGUAGUCCCUGUCUCUUAUACA